AGCAGCCGCGGUAAUUCCAGCUCCAAUAGCGUAUAUUAAAGUUGUUGCAGUUAAAAAGCUCGUAGUUGAAUUUCGGGAUCAGUACGCUGGUCGUGCCUUUGGUAUGUACUGGUGUCACUGAUUCCUCCCUUCUGAAGAACCGUUAUGCCAUUUAUUUGGUGUGGCGGGAAAUCAGGACUGUUACUUUGAAAAAAUUAGAGUGUUUAAAGCAGGCUCGCGCUUGAAUACAUUAGCAUGGAAUAAUGAAAUAGGACGUUUGAUCUUAUUUUGUUGGUUUCUAGGAUCGACGUAAUGAUUAAUAGGGAUAGUUGGGGGCAUUAGUAUUCAAUUGUCAGAGGUGAAAUUCUUGGAUUUAUUGAAGACUAACUACUGCGAAAGCAUUUGCCAAGGAUGUUUUCAUUAAUCAAGAACGAAAGUUAGGGGAUCGAAGACGAUCAGAUACCGUCGUAGUCUUAACCAUAAACUAUGCCGACUAGGGAUUGGAUGAUGUUUAAUUUUUAAUGUACUCAUUCGGCGUACC
rnacentral:rRNA from 1 species